rnacentral:tRNA from 1 species
CAGAAAAUAGUUUAGUGUAGAAUUCUGGCUUUGGGAGUCAGUGGUAAGAGUUUAAAUCUCUUUUUUCUGG